rnacentral:miRNA from 15 species
GCAGGGAAGGGAAAAAGGCGUA